rnacentral:lncRNA from 1 species
AUUUUUCUGAUUUCCAAACCAAAACUAACAUGCAUCUUAUAAUUUAAUAAGAAAUGAUCACCCGAUUAUAUUCAGUCAUAUACUCACCUGAACCAAUACUCCAUCUGGAACUAGAAUACAAAAAUACUUUGAAUGGUCUGAAAGUACUAUUUGUUAAAAAUGUUCAGUACUGAAAUAUCAGUUGGAAUUUUGCCAGGUGAAUGUGAGAGCAGAAAUUCAAUAUAUGUAUAGAAUUGCCUUUCAUAAGGCAGUUAUUUUGUUUAUAAGCCAUGUAUAGUUAUUUAGAUGAUCAAGUUUAUCUGUACUAAACUUGAUCAUCUAAAUAACUGCAUGGCUGAUCAAGUUUAAUACAGAUAAACUUUAUCAUCUAAAUAACUGCAUGGCUUAUAAAGUAUACAUGUAUUUGUGUUUUAAUAAAAUGUUCAGAACACAAAUUACUGGUGGCUGAAUAUAUAAAAUACACUUUGAGAGGAAUACUAGCAAGAGCAGAUGGUGGGGACAUUGCUUUGCAAUAAAUAAGAUUAAUGUGUUUAGAGCUAUUAAGAUUGUGAAGAGAAAGGCAAGAAGUUUAGCCUAUCAAUAGGAAGCACACCAGUGCCUGAACCUGACUUGAGUUUUGAAAAAGCUCAUUUCUUAAAAACAUUCUUAGAAAAUUGGGCUUCACGGAAUAGAUAUGUUUGGAAAUCUUGGUUCACAUAUGUAUAAGGAAUAUCCAGUUUCUCCCUGUUUUCAAGAAUAGCCACUUCACAUCUUUUAGGUGGCUCUCAAAUGUCGGACAGGAGCAGUUGUUAGGGUUUUUCAAAUGUAAGUCAGAACUGUUGUUUGGAGAAAACUGAAUUUUUUCAUUUCGUAAGAUUAUAAUUUCUAGAAAUAUCUAUUAAAAGGUGG